rnacentral:tRNA from 1 species
GGAUGGGUGGCCGAGUGGCUUAAGGCACUCGCCUGCUAAGCGAGUAUAGGUCUAAAAGCCUAUCGAGGGUUCGAAUCCCUCCCCAUCCGCCA